rnacentral:lncRNA from 1 species
GCGUGGAGUGGCCCGGCAGCAUGGCUUGUAACCCCUCGCUCUCCCUGGCGAAAGUGGAGUCUGGGCUCCCUGCUCCACCGGGCGCCUUGCCAAGCGAAGACCCAACUCAAGCCUUCGGGACUCUCAAGUACAUUCAUUGGCAUCUGAACAUCCCCGCAGCGCCCUACAGGGAAGGCUACCAGACAGGCUCGCAGCCUGGACCCUCUCAUCCACCUGCAGCGAGAGGCCAGGGCUCAGAGAGCCAGGGCGGAUGGAGCGUGGUGCCGGCUUCAGGGAGCUCACACACACCACUUUCCGCCUCGUCCCUACCACAGCUCUGCGCGGAGGUCGAGCACGUGUUAACUCGCCUAGGACAGACAGGAUUCCUGCUACUUUCCCACACAUUUUUGGAUUCCGGAGUCAUCUCAUUCCCCUGCGGAGAACGGGGGAGGGUAUUAGACUAAAAAGGUAACCGUGGCACAUUUUCCUCCCUCCUUCCCAGCCUCCAAAUUCUUUUAAACAUUGGGGGGGGGGGGGAAGUGUACGUAUGUGUGUGUGUGUAAAUGCAGGCGAGGUGCUCGGAGAGGAAUGAGUGAUUAAGGGGGCUUGAUA